AAUCACCGGUUUACGAUAAAACAAUCAUUCUGUAUAAACAAUUAUCCUGUUAUUACGACGACGAAGAAUUCGAUUAUUUUAUUCGUUAAGUAAUAUUGUCGACAGUUUUCUGGUAGGAUGGCUUUUAAUUGCGUACCGAUAUAAUAUACGGUCUGUAAUAUUAUUAAUAGACAUGCAUCAUCGUUAAAACUACACAUCAAAAGACGGUAUCAGACGAUCUUAUCUAUCUUGUUUGCGGGAGUUUAAAGUUAAAUGGACGACCAGAAACCACGUAUACCUGGUAUACAGGGUAGCUUUUACAAUCAUGCUUACGGUUCACUC